UACGAAGGGGGCUAGCGUUGUUCGGAAUUACUGGGCGUAAAGCGCACGUAGGCGGCCUAUUAAGUCAGGGGUGAAAUCCCGGGGCUCAACCCCGGAACUGCCUUUGAUACUGGUAGUCUCGAGUCCGGAAGAGGUGAGUGGAAUUCCGAGUGUAGAGGUGAAAUUCGUAGAUAUUCGGAGGAACACCAGUGGCGAAGGCGGCUCACUGGUCCGGUACUGACGCUGAGGUGCGAAAGCGUGGGGAGCAAACAGG
rnacentral:rRNA from 1 species